CCUACGGGAGGCAGCAGUAGGGAAUCUUUCACAAUGGGCGAAAGCCUGAUGGAGCAACGCCGCGUGCAGGAUGAAGGCCUUCGGGUUGUAAACUGCUUUUAUAAGCGAGAAAUAUGAUGGUAACUUAUGAAUAAGGAUCGGCUAACUACGUGCCAGCAGCCGCGGUCAUACGUAGGGUCCGAGCAUUAUCCGGAGUGACUGGGUGUAAAGAGUUGCGUAGGUGGCAUAAUAAGUAGCUAGUGAAAUCUGGUGGCUCAACCAUUCAGACUAUUAGCUAAACUGUUAAGCUCGAGACCGUUAGGGGUAACUGGAAUUUCUAGUGUAGGAGUGAAAUCCGUAGAUAUUAGAAGGAACACCAAUAGCGUAGGCAGGUUGCUGGGACGGUUCUGACACUAAGGCACGAAAGCGUAGGGAGCAAACGGGAUUAGAUACCCGAGUAGUC
rnacentral:rRNA from 1 species